UACGGAGAGUGCAAACGUUGUUCGGAUUCACUGGGCGUAAAGGGCGCGUAGGCGGCUUUCUAAGUCAGGGGUGAAAUCCGGCAGCUCAACUGUCGCAGUGCCUUUGAUACUGGAGAGCUCGAGGGAGGUAGGGGUCUGUGGAACUUCCGGUGGAGCGGUGAAAUGCGUUGAUAUCGGAAGGAACGCCGGUGGCGAAAGCGACGGACUGGAUCUCUUCUGACGCUGAGGCGCGAAAGCCAGGGGAGCAAACGGG
rnacentral:rRNA from 1 species